rnacentral:lncRNA from 1 species
UAGAUAUGAAUCCUCCUUGCUACCAACCUGGCCUGACCGGGCUGGUAUAGAAGAAGAAAUUAUGAAGGAUAGAAGGAUGACGGACGUUGAAGAUGUCACAUCGUGAUCUUAUAAUUAAUUAUCGAUAUUCUAUUUGCUAUUCAAAGUUGGCUUCUGCUAAAUCCUUUGUAAGAAAUAAACCUUACCAGGUUAAAUGUUUAUAGACGUGUGUUAUUCAUUUUCAAGUACCACUUCUGAUCUGACCUCUAAGAUCAGAAGUGGGAUCGCCACGCGUACUUUACCCUUUGCCAUCUGAAUCCAAUAAUGAUUUAUUUUAUUCAUGAAAUUACAUCUCAACCGUAAAUAAGUUUUAUUUCUUACACUCGAGAGUAUUCUGAAGAAAAAGUAUGAACUAGUUAUAGUUCCGAUACCGUUGCGAUUCUAUGAAUGAUCCUCAUGUGCUGUGAAACAACCACGAUAUAACCGACAGCACAUUGGAAGCCACAACAUCAACAUUAUGGCAAAGAACUGGUCGAAGUCUUGACUAGAAAUUGCGAGAGGAAAAGUGACAGCUGCUGUGUCUUGUUUGUAAAACAAAAAGCGAUCGAAUGCUGGAGAUACUGAAGAUAGCCCACCAGCUGGAACAGUCUCAGUUCGAUCUAACGAAGAUUCCUUACAGCAGCAGAUUUGUGUUUUAGAGUGAACCUCUUCUCUUGGAUUUCUUUUUCAGGAUGUGUAAAGCACUGAAGCUCGAAGACAGUGGCCCUGAAAAGCCAUGUUGAAGUUUUACAAGUUGCACAUAAUAAAUUUAUGAUCAAUAUUUUAUGAUUUGAACAGUUUUGGAUUAUGAAUUUUGCAGAUAGGGCUGAAACUUUUCAACUUAUCAUAGUACGAGGUAUAAGUAUGUCUGGCGUUGAGAAGGAAAGAAGAAGCGCUGUAUCGUGUCCCUACCUUUUGUCACGCUUUUAGAAAAUGAUUUCAACAUAAAGGCCUAAAACUGCCAACUGUUAAAACAAAUUGAAUAUUCUGUGCGAUGCAUGAUUUGCUGUACUAAAAAUUGUGUUGAAAGAAGAGUAUCGGUGUUGUUUUCAUUAUUCUUGGAUACAUUUUAAGAAAUAAUGGGAAAUAAUUUCUACUUAUAAUAACAAGGCCGCUUGUAGCUACAAAAAAUAUCACCGGUUUCCAUGGUGACAUAUCAAAGUCGUUAUCCAGUUAUUGUGUUUUUAUGUUUCAUGUGUUACAUUUGUCUUAUGGCGAGAAUAGUAUCUAAUACGUGAGCUGGGAACAUGUAUCCUGUCUGUCGAGUGGAGCAGCUCAUCAACAUAUCGCGAGGUCGCUCGUGCGUUUCGUGUGGAAGGAACCUCUACUCCUGUCUCGCUGUGGUGUCACAUAAUGUGACUCCCUGCUGUUAUCAUAAAGCGCAAAGGCUUAGCGCUGUUUGCAGAGAUAUUACAAGAAGCAUGGAGUGAUAAUGCCUGAUCAUGAGCAACAUGUCGGUGACUAGCUUAUGGGGAGUUGACCUGAUGCUGAAGAGGCGAAUAAUACUGCUGGCGAGGACGCCGCAGGGUCAGGAACGGCCGUGUUAGAUAUGAAUCCUCCUUGCUACCAACCUGGCCUGACCGGGCUGGUAUAGAAGAAGAAAUUAUGAAGGAUAGAAGGAUGACGGACGUUGAAGAUGUCACAUCGUGAUCUUAUAAUUAAUUAUCGAUAUUCUAUUUGCUAUUCAAAGUUGGCUUCUGCUAAAUCCUUUGUAAGAAAUAAACCUUACCAGGUUAAAUGUUUA